GCUGGGCGUGGUGUCUCACGCCUGUAAUCCUAGCACUUUGGGAGGCUGAGGCGGGUGGAUCACCUGUGGUCAGGAGUUCAAGACCAGCCUGGCCAACAUGGUGAAACCCCGUCUCUA
rnacentral:SRP_RNA from 1 species